CGUCUUUCUUCAGUAAACUCGUGGACAUGUUUUCAGGUUUACUCUUUAUCGAAAUUUCAGCAGUCCUUGCAAGUGAUAUCUGCUCGGUCACCACGACGAAUUCUUGUAAUAAAAGUGGGUUUGACUGACGCUUGCAAUGCGAAACCAAAGCGGAAUUUGCUGAUCAGGUGCACGUACUUGCCUUGUCGUUACGUAUCACUGAUACAUACAACGAUACGAUGAGCAGAGAUGACGUAUUUUCCAGUUGACUGCGUUGACUGCGUUGAAUCUUAUAUUACGAGAGGCAGAGGAAAGAGCCUUUUAGAAGGAAAUCUCUCAUUUGAGAUAAGCGUCCCGACCUUCUGACGCGAGAUUACAAUGUUUACAUCGUAUCGUCGAGAAAGUUUACGGGAGUCUGCUUCGAAAACCAACUUCACUCAAUAAAGCUCAGCAAAAUUAAAUAUUCAUCUAGAAUAUUAAAUCGUCGAUUAAAACGUAAAAUUAGAACACAUACCGCGAUCAAUGAGGUGAAGAUGAAGAUGGAGAUGGAGAUAUUGAAGAUAAGAUUAAUUAGAGAUGUACCAAGGUGGAUUUCAUCCACUAGAUGCUAAAGGCUCAAGCUCUCUGCAAUGACCCGGUUGGUGAUAUCUCGAUGAAUUUCCUAGAACUUGAUAUGAUAAUUCGCUUCGAAAGACGAUGCGCUUCAUUUUUGCACGCUUACUUGGAUUGAAUAGAGAUAUUCCGACGAGCAUCGAUUGUUAAAGAAAAGAGGGCUAUCUCGCGAUAAAAGCGGCUUCGGCUUUGUUACGAUAAUUCGUCAGCGAAUUUUUUGCUGCGAUUCGCUUGCGAAAACCGUGCACGGAUUAACCGUGUGUAACGGUUGCCUAAUAAGAAUUUAAUGCUUCACAAUUGUAUAUUUAUUAUCUGCACAAUGCAAUUUUUUAUAUAUUUCUACAAAUGUGAAGGAAACUUUUGACUUUUAACAGUUCAACGACAAUUUCAUUUGAUUUAUCCUCGCGCUAGGAAAAUAACUGCGGCGAAAAGUUUUCUAUUUAAAAUGAACAUUGCGCGUGUUUCUUUACACACGCACGUACAUACACAUAUACAUAUAAUGUAUGUACAUGCAUGCUGAAAUUAAAUUAUCGAAUGAUCUCCACUGAACCGAUUCAAAAUUAUCAACCGCAAGCGGAAUAUCCAAUUAUCGUACAAGUACUUCAGGUUCCUCAACCCUUGGUUGAGGAAGUAAUCACGCCGGAUCCCUUUCGAGGAAAAUCCUACACGUACAACAUCCAGACUCUACCACCUCCGUCUGUGCCGAUCUCGAGGAGAUAUGAUUUUGAUUUUCAAGUACCAUCACACACACAAUUUCUUAUUUUUGCGAGUUAUUGAAAAUUUGGCCAAUUUGAUG